GGUAAUGACUGUCCUGUGUAGGUGACAGUGAUAUCCAAUAGGCUAGGCACUCACGAGGCUGGCUGUGGCAAGUGUAAGUGAAAGCAACACGCACUGGCAGGAAAAACAGCAAACGCCGAUGAAGGAAAAGGGUCUUUGCAGUGAUGGGCGUUACCAAAGAGGGCGAUGGCCAGAGGACACAAAUGGGACGGGGAGGCAGCGCGUUGGGGGGGGGACGCGACACAGCUCGGGCCCGCCAGUGCCCCAACGGGGUCCUAGUUAUUUUUCUGCCCCUUUGAACUGGAAAAUGGCCCACUUCCCACUGGUGAAAACUCAUGAAAUUUGGCAGGACGACCGGGCCUGGUGAAAAAUUCGAUAUUCUGAAGUCACCCAAACAAUCAAAUGCAAAAUGGCUCCAUAGCGCCCCCUAAGGUGAAAAAUUCACAUGAUUGAGUGUCACGCCUGUACGCUUUGUCAAAAUGACACAAAAUUUGACACACACGUGUAUCUCAAUAAGAUCUACAAAAAAGUCAGUGCGGGCGUAUCUGUCAAAUGUACGUUUAAAGGGCUAUUUCGCAUUUUUUGCCGAUCCGCACACAUUGGAAUUUCGCUAACUCCUCCGAAGGCUUUCGUUCCACCGGCACCAAAUUUGCUCAGGCCAAUCUACACCCCAUGGCCAUUCAAAGUUGUACAAAUCAUGACGCUGCACCCCACGGUUUACGUUGUAGGGGGCGCCAAAGAUAACCCAAAAAUCCACAUUCUUACAAGUCUUAUAACUUUUUAUUUCUGUCCUCACUGGCCUCCAAGUUUUCUAGGAUGAUGCAAUGUCCAGCCAUCAACACAUUUGUGAAGGAAUUUUUACUCCCCAAAAGAGCGCCCCCCCAUGGCAGGAGAAAAAAGGCCAUUUUUUCUUGUCCUAUAAGGUGAAAAUACACAUUGUUGAGUGUCACGCCUGUACGCUUUGUCAUAUUGAAACAAAAUUUGAUAAUCACGUGUAUCUCAAUAAGAUCUACGAAAAAAACAAUGCGCACGUGUCUGCAAAAUGUACGGUUAAAGGGCUGUUUCGCAUUUUUGGUUGAUUCGCACACAUUGGAAUGUGGCUAACUCCUCCUAAAGCUUUCGUUCCACCGGCACCAAAUUUGCUCAGGCCAAUCUACACCCCAUGGCCAUUAAAAGUUGUACAAAUCAUGAUGCUGCACCCCACGGUUUACGUUCUAGGGGUCGCCAAAGAUAACCCAAAAAUCCACAUUCUUAAAAGUCUUAUAACUUUUCAUUUUUGUCCUCAUUGGCUUCAAAGUUUUCUAGGAUGAUGCAAUGUCUAGCCAUCAACACAUUUGUGAAGGAAUUUUUUCUCCCCAAAAGAGCGCCCCCCCAUGGCAGGAGAAAAAGUCAAGUUUUUCCUGCCCAUCGCUCAAUGGCUCAAACACAUCGCUCUCUCGGAAAAAAACGAAAGGAGGAGGAACUUGCCAUUUGGAUAUAUCCUAGCUGUGUUUGUGCCCUCACUCAUGGUCCAGACUUUUUUCAAAUAGGACAUGUAGUUUGUCUGCAGCAAGCGUUUUGGUAGAAACUGCGCCUCCCAUUCAUUAUAAUGGUAAAUGACCACAGACAAGUGCGCACACCAUCGUUGAACCUUGAGUGUGACGCGAUCGGGAGGGAGAGGCGGUCGUGUUGGGGGCGGCGUGACACAGCUCGGGCCCGCCAGUGCCCCAACGGGGCCCUAGUUAUUAUUAUUAUUAUUUUUCCUCCGCUUUAAACUGGAAAAUGGCCCACUUCCCACUGGCGAAAACUCAUGAAAUUUGGCAGGACGACCGGGCCUGGUGAAAAAUUCGAUAUUCUGAAGUCGCCCAAACAAUAAAAUGCAAAAUGGCUCCAUAGCGCCCCCUAAGGUGGAAAUUCACACUAUUGACUGUCACGUCUGUACGUUUUGUCAUAUUGACACAAAAAUUGACACACAUAUGUAUCUCAAUAAGAUCUACAAAAAAGUCAGUGCGGGCGUAUCUGUCAAAUGUACGGUUAAAGGGUUAUUUCGCAUUUUUUGCCGAUCCGCACACAUUGGAAUUUCGCUAACUCCUCCGAAGGCUUUCGUUCCACCGGCACCACAUUUGCUCAGGCCAGUCUACACCCCAUGGCCAUUAAAAGUUGUACAAAUCAUGACGCUGCACCCCACGGUUUAGGUUCUAGGGGGCGCCAAAGAUAACCCAAAAAUCCACAUUCUUAAAAGUCUUAUAACUUUUUAUUUUUGUCCUCACUGCCCUCCAAGUUUUCUAGGAUGAUGCAAUGUCCAGCCAUCAACACAUUUGUGAAGGAAUUUUUACUCCCCAAAAGAGCGCCCCCCCAUGGCAGGAGAAAAAAGUCAAUUUUUUCUUGUCCCCUUACAUGAAAAUACACAUUGUUGAGUGUCACGCCUGAACGCUUUGUCAUAUUGACACAAAAAUUGACAAUCAUGUGUAUCUCAAUUAGAUCUACGAAAAAGUCAAAGAGCGCGUAUCUGUAUAAUGUACGGUUAAAGGGCUAUUUCGCAUUUUUUGCCGAUUCGCACACAUUGGAAUGUGGCUAUCUCCUCCUAAGGCUUUCGUCCCACUGAUACCAAAUUUGCUCAGGGCAAUCUACACCCCAUGCCCAUUCAAAGUUGUAAAAAUCAUGACGCUGCACCCCACGGUUUACGUUCUAGGGGGUGCCAAAGAUGACCCAAAAAUCCACAUUCUUAAAAGUCAUUUUGGCCACUGCAGGAGUACAGAGUACUGCAGUUCUAGGGGGCGCCAAAGAUGACCCAAAAAUCCACAUUCUUAAAAGUCUUUUUGGCCACUGCAGGAGUACAGAGUACUGCAGGAUACACACACAUAUACACACACGCCACACACACACACACACACACACACACACACACACACACACACACACACACUCAGAGUCUGUUUUUUAGCACCUGCAAAAACAUGCUGUUUACAUAUUUGACAAGAAUGCAGAGGCUUCCUUUUGCCCCUGAAAAAAAUCAGAUUUCAAACACAACUUGACUGUUCAUUUCUCCAAAAGACAACCAUGAAGCUCCAUCCAAACCUGAAGCAGAUAGUUGGUGCAUGUGUACAGUAACCUGAGGGGAGUGAGGUGACUAUUUCUGAGGAGAACAUGAGCAGUGAAGAUUCACCUUGGAGCUAGAACAGGGACGUGCACAUGAUUAUACAGGGGCAGGGGCUCAAGUUUUUUCCAGUCAUUUAUACAAUAUGGAAAUUAAUGUGAAAUUAAAAAACAAAGUAUUAAUAGAAAGGUAAUGACUGUCCUGUGUAGGUGACAGUGAUAUCCAAUAGGCUAGGCACUCACGAGGCUGGCUGUGGCAAGUGUAAGUGAAAGCAACACGCACUGGCAGGAAGAACAGCAAACGCCGAUGAAGGAAAGGGUCUUUGCAGUGAUGGGCGUUACCAGAGAGGACGAUGGCCAGAGGACGCGAAUGGGACGGGGAGGCAGCGCGUUGGGGGGGGCAGCGCGACACGGCUCGGGCCCGCCAGUGCCCCAACGGGGCCCUAGUUAUUAUUUUUCCUCCGCUUUAAACUGGAAAAUGGCCCACUUCCCACUGGCGAAAACUCAGGAAAUUUGGCAGGACGACCGGGCCUGGUGAAAAAUUCGAUGUUCUGAAGUCGCCCAAACAAUAAAAUGCAAAAUGGCUCCAUAGCGCCCCCUAAGGUGAAAAUUCACAUGACGGCUGUACGCUUUGUCAUAUUGACACAAAAAUUGACACACACAUGUAUCUCAAUAAGUUCUACAAAAAAGUCAGUGCGGGCUUAUCUGUCAAAUGUACGGUUAAUGGGUUAUUUUGCAUUUUUUGCAGAUCUGCACACAUUGGAAUUUCGCUAACUCCUCCGAAGGCUUUCGUUCGACCGGCACCACAUUUGCGCAGGCCAAUCAACCCCCCAUGGCCAUUAAAAGUUGUACAAAUCAUGACGCUGCACCCCACGGUUUACGUUCUAGGGGGCGCCAAAGAUAACCCAAAAUCCACAUUCUUAAAAGUCUUAUAACUUUUUAUUUUUGUCCUCACUGCCCUCCAAGUUUUCUAGGAUGAUGCAAUGUCCAGCCAUCAACACAUUUGUGAAGGAAUUUUUACUCCCCAAAAGAGCGCCCCCCCAUGGCAGGAGAAAAAAGUCAAUUUUUUCUUGUCCCCUUACAUGAAAAUACACAUUGUUGAGUGUCACGCCUGAACGCUUUGUCAUAUUGACACAAAAAUUGACAAUCAUGUGUAUCUCAAUUAGAUCUACGAAAAAGUCAAAAAGCGCAUAUCUGUAUAAUGUACGGUUAAAGGGCUAUUUCGCAUUUUUUGCCGAUUCGCACACAUUGGAAUGUGGCUAUCUCCUCCUAAGGCUUUCGUCCCACCGAUACCAAAUUUGCUCAGGGCAAUCUACACCCCAUGCCCAUUCAAAGUUGUAAAAAUCAUGACGCUGCACCCCACGGUUUACGUUCUAGGGGGCGCCAAAGAUGACCCAAAAAUCCACAUUCUUAAAAGUCAUUUUGGCCACUGCAGGAGUACAGAGUACUGCAGGAUACACACACAUAUACACACACACACACACACACACACACACUCAGAGUCUGUUUUUUAGCACCUGCAAAAACAUGCUGUUUACAUAUUUGACAAGAAUGCAGAGGCUUCCUUUUGCCCCUGAAAAAAAUCAGAUUUCAAACACAACUUGACUGUUCAUUUCUCCAAAAGACAACCAUGAAGCUCCAUCCAAACCUGAAGCAGAUAGUUGGUGCAUGUGUACAGUAACCUGAGGGGAGUGAGGUGACUAUUUCUGAGGAGAACAUGAGCAGUGAAGAUUCACCUUGGAGCUAGAACAGGGACGUGCACAUGAUUAUACAGGGGUAGGGGCUCAAGUUUUUUCCAGUCAUUUAUACAAUAUGGAAAUUAAUGUGAAAUUAAACCACAAAUAUGUGUGAUGAACUGUUUUUAAAACUUAAACUUCAAAUAAAAAUUGUAAACUUCAAAACAUAUGCAAAUUUUUAACAAAGAACAUAGUAAUUUACCUCUAUUUACAUCAAAAUGCAGGCAAUGGCCCAGGCGUUCUUUGUAAAAUUAUUUACAAAACACUGUAUAGUCUCACAAAUGUCACUUUUUAUUUAUGCCACUACAAAAAAACAUGAUGUAAAUGAUGCAUGAUGUAAAACAUGAUGUAAAAAACUUGUGUAGAUCCUCCUCUAUGUCAGUCCAUGUGUAAUUUUUCCAUAAUUCUUUGUUUUUUGCAGCAUUUUUGUUAGUGUAACUGCAGAUUGUGCUGACAGUCUAUGGCAAAAAAAACAAAAACUGAAAAUGCCUCAACAUGAACCCCUGGUGGUCUCUGAGGGUGAAACCUGCUAACUGCUGCAGCUCUGUCAGCUUCAGUCUCCCAUGCAGAGCUCGGAGCGCAUGUGUGGCUCUGCACCCUUAGCAGCGUUGCUAACUCCUCAGUAAGGAAAGCCUGCUUCAUGUCAGAGUCUCUAAACUCCAGAAGAAGUCGAUAAAAGUCCCUUUCUUUCUAAAAAAAAGUCGUUAGGGGGUCUGAAAAGUAAUUGAAUCUAACAACAAAGUCGCUAGGUUUGCAACUACGUGUCCCAGACUGCAUCCCUGCUGAGAGUCCCUCCCUCCCUUCUCAUGUUGCAGGAAGAACGUAAGCGCCCGCCCCUUGUCAUUCAGUCACCAUAUAAUUUUGGAUUGGUUGUUGUGGUGAAGUUUUCCACCAAUAGGAGAGAUGUUGUGGUGUGUUUUUUUUUUCUUUUGGCAAGCCUUUUCCGCCUGUAAGACCUGUCGCUAAUGUGUGCAUGCUAUGUUUUCCUGUCUCAUACAGCGCGAUCGAGCGCCGAACGUGAUCAAAAUAAGCAGAAAAAAAGUAUCGCGGACAUAAUUUAUCAUAACUCUGGUUUUAUUUGGCCUAUCAACACAAUUUAAAAACUGGUAUAUAGGUUGAGGUCCUCACUUUUGAGAUAAGUUGAAACGGAGAGUUAACGAGGCUCCGUCUUGCAGCUACAUCCGGUUAAAUAUGUCAUGUGACUUGAACGCUGGGGAGCGUCAAUCGAAUCGAAUCAAACCUAACUCUCAGAUGAAUCUUCAAAAUUCACCUCAGAAAUAUGCUUAUUAUUCUUCUCAGAGUACUGCAGGAUACACACACAGACACACACACACACACGCACACACACACACACACACACACACACACACACACACACACACUCGGAGUCUGUUUUUUAGCACCUGCAAAAACAUGCUAUUUACAUAUUUGACAAGAAUGCAGAGGCUUCCUUUUGCCCCUGAAAAAAAUCAAAUUUCAAACACAACUUGACUGGUCAUUUCUCCAAAAGACAACCAUGAAGCUCCAUCCAAACCUGAAGCAGGCAGUUGGUGCAUGUGUACAGUAACCUGAGGGGAGUGAGGUGACUGCUUCUGAGGAGAACAUGAGCAGUGAAGAUUCACCUUGGAGCUAGAACAGGGACGUGCACAUGAUAAUACAGGGGCAGGGGCUCAAGUUUUUUCCAGUCGUUUAUACAAUAUGGAAAUUAAUGUGAAAUUAAAAAACAAAGUAUGACUGUCCUGUGUAGGUGACAGUGAUAUCCAAUAGGCUAGGCACUCACGAGGCUGGCUGUGGCAAGUGUAAGUGAAAGCAACACGCACUGGCAGGAAGAACAGCAAACGCAGAUGAAGGAAAAGGGUCUUUGCUGUGAUGGGCGUUACCAGAGAGGGCGAUGGCCAGAGGACACGAAUGGGACGGGGAGGCAGCGCGUUGGGGGGGGGGGGGGUGCGACACGGCUCGGGCCCGCCAGUGCCCCAACGGGGCCCUAGUUAGGGCCCGAGCGUAGCUGCUAAGCAGCUGCGAGAGCCCUCUUGUUCCUGCAUGUUUCCUUCUUUCGUUAUUAUUUUUCCUCCGCUUUAAACUGGAAAAUGGCCCACUUCCCACUGGCGAAAACUCAGGAAAUUUGGCAGGACGACCGGGCCUGGUGAAAAAUUCGAUAUUCUGAAGUCGCCCAAACAAUAAAAUGCAAAAUGGCUCCAUAGCGCCCCCUAAGGUGAAAAUUCACAUGACGGCUGUACGCUUUGUCAUAUUGACACAAAAAUUGACACACACAUGUAUGUCAAUAAGAUCUACAAAAAAGUCAGUGCGGGCGUAUCUGUCAAAUGUACGGUUAAUGGGUUAUUUUGCAUUUUUUGCAGAUCUGCACACAUUGGAAUUUCGCUAACUCCUCCGAAGGCUUUCGUUCGACCGGCACCACAUUUGCGCAGGCCAAUCUACCCCCCAUGGCCAUUAAAAGUUGUACAAAUCAUGACGCUGCACCCCACGGUUUACGUUCUAGGGGGCGCCAAAGAUAACCCAAAAUCCACAUUCGUAAAAGUCUUAUAACUUUUUAUUUUUGUCCUCACUGCCCUCCAAGUUUUCUAGGAUGAUGCAAUGUCCAGCCAUCAACACAUUUGUGAAGGAAUUUUUACUCCCCAAAAGAGCGCCCCCCCAUGGCAGGAGAAAAAAGUCAAUUUUUUCUUGUCCCCUAAGGUGAAAAUACACAUUGUUGAGUGUCACGCCUAUACGCUUUGUCAUAUUGACCCAAAAUUUGACAAUCACGUGUAUCUCAAUAAGAUCUACGAAAAAGUCAAUGGGCACGUAUCUGUAAAAUGUACGGUUAAAGGGUUAUGUCGCAUUUUUUCCCGAUCCGCACACAUUGGAAUUUCGCUAACUUCUCCGAAGGCUUUCGUUCCACCGCCACCAAAUUUGCUCAGGCCAAUCUACACCCCAUGGCCAUUCAAAGUUGUACAAAUCAUGAUGCUGCACUCCACAGUUUAGGUUCUAGGGGGCGCCAAACAUAACCCUAAAAUCCACAUUCUUAAUAGUCUUAUAACUUUUUAUUUUUGUCCUCACUGGCCUCCAAGUUUUCUAGGAUGAUGCAAUGUCCAGCCAUCAACACAUUUGUAAAGGAAUUUUUACUCUCGAAAAGAGCGCCCCCCCCAUGGCAGGAGAAAAAAGUCAAUUUUUUCUUGUCCCCUAAGGUGAAAAAACACAUUGUUGAGUGUCACUCCUAUACGCUUUGUCAAAAUGACACAAAAUUUGACACACACGUGUAUCUCAAUAAGAUCUACGAAAAAGUCAAUGUGCACGCAUCUGUAAAAUGUACAGUCAAAGGGCUAUUUCGCAUUUUUUCCCGAUCCGCACACAUUGGAAUUUCGCUAACUCCUCCUAAGGCUUUCGUCCCACCGACACCAAAUUUGCUCAAGCAGAUCUACAUCCCAUGGCCAUUCAAAGUUGUAAAAAUCAUGACGCUGCACCCCACGGUUUACGUUCUAAGGGGCGCCAAAGAUGACCCUAAAAUCCACAUUCUUAAUAGUCUUAUAACUUUUUAUUUUUGUCCUCACUGGCCUCCAAGUUUUCUAGGAUGAUGCAAUGUCCAGCCAUCAACACAUUUGUAAAGGAAUUUUUACUCUCGAAAAGAGCGCCCCCCCAUGGCAGGAGAAAAAAGUCAAUUUUUUCUUGUCCCCUAAGGUGAAAAAACACAUUGUUGAGUGUCACUCCUAUACACUUUGUCAAAAUGACACAAAAUUUGACACACACGUGUAUCUCAAUAAGAUCUACGAAAAAGUCAAUGUGCACGCAUCUGUAAAAUGUACAGUCAAAGGGCUAUUUCGCAUUUUUUCCCGAUCCGCACACAUUGGAAUUUCGCUAACUCCUCCUAAGGCUUUCGUCCCACCGAAACCAAAUUUGCUCAAGCAGAUCUACAUCCCAUGGCCAUUCAAAGUUGUAAAAAUCAUGACUCCCCUUCGCUCUCUUCGGCAAAACCGAAAGGAGGAGCAACUUGCCAUUUGGAUAUAUACUAGCUGUGUUUCUGCCCUCACUCAUGGUCCAGACGUUUUUCAAAUAGGACAUGGAGUUUUUCUGCAGCGAGCGUUUUGGUAGAAACUGCGCCUCCCAUUCAUUAUAACGGUAAAUGACCACAGACAAGUGCACACACCAUCUUUCGACCUUGAGUGUGACGCGAUCAGGAAGGGGAGGCGGUCGCGCUGGGGGCGGUGCGACAUGGCUCGGGCCCGCCAGUGCCCCAACGGGGCCCUAGUUCUUCUUUAGGGCCCGAGCGUAGCUGCUAAGCAGCUGCGAGAGCCCUCUUGUUCCUGAUGGAUUCUUCUUUUGUUAUUAUUUAGGGCCCGAGCGUAGCUGCUAAGCAGCUGCGAGAGCCCUCUUGUUCCUGAUGGAUUCUUCUUUCGUUAUUUUUCCUCCGCUUUAAACUGGAAAAUGGCCCACUUCCCACUGGCGAAAACUCAGGAAAUUUGGCAGGACGACCGGGCCUGGUGAAAAAUUCGAUAUUCUGAAGUCGCCCAAACAAAAAAAUGAAAAAUGGCUCCAUAGCGCCCCCUAUGGUGAAAACUCACCUGACGCCUGUACGCUUUGUCAAAAUGACACAAAAAUUGACACACAUGUGUAUCUCAAUAAGAUCUACAAAAAAGUCAGUGCGGGCGUAUCUGUCAAAUGUACCGUUAAAGGGCUAUUUCGCAUUUUUUGCCGAUCCGCACACAUUGGAAUUUCGCUAACUCCUCCGAAGGCUUUCCUUCCACCGGUACCAAAUUUGCUCAGGCCAAUCUACACCCCAUGGCCAUUAAAAGUUGUACAAAUCAUGACGCUGCACCCCACGGUUUAGGUUCUAGGGGGCGCCAAAGAUAACCCAAAAAGCCACAUUCUUAAAAGUCUUAUAACUUUUUAUUUUUGUCCUCACUGGCCUCCAAGUUUUCUAGGAUGAUGCAAUGUCCAGCCAUCAACACAUUUGUGAAGGAAUUUUUACUCCCCAAAAGAGCGCCCCCCCAUGGCAGUAGAAAAAAGUCCAUUUUUUCUUGUCCCCUAAGGUGAAAAUACACAUUGUUGAGUGUCACGCCUAAACGCUUUGUCAUAUUGACACAAAAUUUGACAAUCACGUGUAUCUCAAUAAGAUCUACGAAAAAGUCAAAGAGCGCGUAUCUGUAUAAUGUACGGUAAAAGGGCUAUUUUGCAUUUUUUGCCGAUCCGCACACAUUGGAAUUUCACUAACUCCUCCGAAGGCUUUCAUUCCACCGACACCAAAUUUGCUCAGGCCAAUCUACACCCCAUGGCCAUUAAAAGUUGUACAAAUCAUGAUGCUGCACCCCACGGUUUACGUUCUAGGGGGCGCCAAAGAUGACCCAAAUAUCCACAUUCUUAAAAGUCUUAUAACUUUUUAUUUUUGUCCUCACUGGCCUCCAAGUUUUCUUGGACGAUGCAAUGUCCAGCCAUCAACACAUUUGUGAAGGAAUUUUUACUCCCCAAAAGAGCGCCCCCCAUGGCAGGAGAAAAAAGUCCAUUUUUUCUUGUCCCCUAAGGUGAAAAUACGCACUGUUGAGUGUCACGCCUGUACGCUUUGUCAAAAUGACACAAAAAUUGACACACACAUGUAUCUCAAUAAGAUCUACGAAAAAGUCAAUGCACGCGUAUCUGUCAAAUGUACGGUUAAAGGGUUAUUCCGCAUUUUUUGCUGAUCCGCACACAUUGGAAUGUGGCUAACUCCUCUGAAGGCUUUCGUUCCAUCGGCACCAAAUUUGCUGAGGCCAAUCUACACCCCAUGGCCAUUAAAAGUUAUUCAAAUCAUGACGCUGCACCCCACGGUUUACGUUCUAGGGGGCGCCAAAGAUGACACAAAUAUCCACAUAUUUAAAAGUCUUAUAACUUUUUAUUUUCGUCCUCACUGGCCUCCAAGUUUUCUAGGAUGAUGCAAUGUCCAAAUAUCCACAUUCUUAAAAGAAUCUACAUCCCCCCCCCCAUCCCCCAAGUUUUUCCUGCCCAUCACUCAAUGGCUCAAUCGCAUCGCUCUCCCGGCAACACCGUAAUGAGGAGCAACUUGCCGUUUGGAUAUAUCCUAGCUGUGUUUGUGCCCUCACUCAUGGUCCAGACUUUUUUCAAAUAGGACAUGUAGUUUGUCUGCAGCGAGUGUUUUGGUAGAAACUGCGCCUCCCAUUCAUUAUAAUGGGAAAUGACCACAGACAAGUGCGCACACCAUCUUUGGACCUUGAGUGUGACGCGAUCGGGAGGGGGAGGCGGUCGCGCUGGGGGCGGCUCGACGCGGCUCGGGCCCGACAGUGCCCCACCGGGGCCCUAGUAUUAUUAUUUUUCCUCCGCUUUAAACUGGAAAAUGGCCCACUUCCCACUGGCGAAAACUCAUGAAAUUUGGCAGGACGACCGGGCCUGGUGAAAAAUUCGAUAUUCUGAAGUCGCCCAAACAAUAAAAUGCAAAAUGGCUCCAUAGCGCCCCCUAAGGUGGAAAUUCACACUAUUGACUGUCACGUCUGUACGUUUUGUCAUAUUGACACAAAAAUUGACACACAUAUGUAUCUCAAUAAGAUCUACAAAAAAGUCAGUGCGGGCGUAUCUGUCAAAUGUACGGUUAAAGGGUUAUUUCGCAUUUUUUGCCGAUCCGCACACAUUGGAAUUUCGCUAACUCCUCCGAAGGCUUUCGUUCCACCGGCACCACAUUUGCUCAGGCCAGUCUACACCCCAUGGCCAUUAAAAGUUGUACAAAUCAUGACGCUGCACCCCACGGUUUAGGUUCUAGGGGGCGCCAAAGAUAACCCAAAAAUCCACAUUCUUAAAAGUCUUAUAACUUUUUAUUUUUGUCCUCACUGCCCUCCAAGUUUUCUAGGAUGAUGCAAUGUCCAGCCAUCAACACAUUUUUGAAGGAAUUUUUACUCCCCAAAAGAGCGCCCCCCCAUGGCAGGAGAAAAAAGUCAAUUUUUUCUUGUCCCCUUACAUGAAAAUACACAUUGUUGAGUGUCACGCCUGAACGCUUUGUCAUAUUGACACAAAAAUUGACAAUCAUGUGUAUCUCAAUUAGAUCUACGAAAAAGUCAAAGAGCGCGUAUCUGUAUAAUGUACGGUUAAAGGGCUAUUUCGCAUUUUUUGCCGAUUCGCACACAUUGGAAUGUGGCUAUCUCCUCCUAAGGCUUUCGUCCCACUGAUACCAAAUUUGCUCAGGGCAAUCUACACCCCAUGCCCAUUCAAAGUUGUAAAAAUCAUGACGCUGCACCCCACGGUUUACGUUCUAGGGGGCGCCAAAGAUGACCCAAAAAUCCACAUUCUUAAAAGUCAUUUUGGCCACUGCAGGAGUACAGAGUACUGCAGUUCUAGGGGGCGCCAAAGAUGACCCAAAAAUCCACAUUCUUAAAAGUCUUUAUGGCCACUGCAGGAGUACAGAGUACUGCAGGAUACACACACAUAUACACACACGCCAACACACACACACACACACACACACACACACACACACACACACACACACACACACACACUCAGAGUCUGUUUUUUAGCACCUGCAAAAACAUGCUGUUUACAUAUUUGACAAGAAUGCAGAGGCUUCCUUUUGCCCCUGAAAAAAAUCAAAUUUCAAACACAACUUGACUGGUCAUUUCUCCAAAAGACAACCAUGAAGUUCCAUCCAAACCUGAAGCAGAUAGUUGGUGCAUGUGUACAGUAACCUGAGGGGAGUGAGGUGACUAUUUCUGAGGAGAACAUGAGCAGUGAAGAUUCACCUUGGAGCGAGAACAGGGACGUGCACAUGAUUAUACAGGGGCAGGGGCUCAAGUUUUUUCCAGUCAUUUAUACAAUAUGGAAAUUAAUGUGAAAUUAAAAAACAAAGUAUUAAUAGAAAGGUUAUGACUGUCCUGUGUAGAUGACAGUGAUAUCCAAUAGGCUAGGCACUCACGAGGCUGGCUGUGGCAAGUGUAAGUGAAAGCAACACGCACUGGCAGGAAGAACAGCAAACGCCGAUGAAGGAAAAGGGUCUUUGCAGUGAUGGGCGUUACCAGAGAGGGCGAUGGCCAGAGGAAACAAAUGGGACGGGGAGGCAGCGCGUUGGGGGGGGGGACGCGACACAGCUCGGGCCCGCCAGUGCCCCAACGGGGUCCUAGUUAGGGCCCGAGCGUAGCUGCUAAGCAGCUGCGAGAGCCCUAUUGUUCCUGUAUCGGUUUUUCUUUCUUCUUUCUUUCUUUCUUUCUUUCUUCUUAUUUUUCCUCCCCUUUGAACUGGAAAAAAACUCACUUCCCACUGGCGAAAACUCAUGAAAUUUGGCAGGACGACCGGGCCUGGUGAAAAAUUCGAUAUUCUGAAGUCGCCUAAACAAUAAAAUGCAAAAUGGCUCCAUAGCGCCCCCAAAGGUGAAAAUUCACACCAUUGACUGUCACGCCUGUACGCUUUGUCAAAAUGACACAAAAUUUGACACACAUAUGUAUCUCAAUAAGAUCUACGAAAAAAUCAGCGCGGGCGUAUCUGUCAAAUGUACGGUUAAAGGUUUAUUUCGCAUUUUUUGCCGAUCCGCACACAUUGGAAUUUCGCUAACUCCUCCGAAGGCUUUUGUUCCACUGGCACCACAUUUGCUCAGGUCAAUCUACACCCCAUGGCCAUUAAAAGUUGUACAAAUCAUGACGCUGCACCCCGCGGUUUAGGUUCUAGGGGGCGCCAAAGAUGACCCAAAAAUCCACAUUCUUAAAAGUCUUAUAACUUUUUAUUUUUGUCCCCACUGGCCUUGAAGUUCUCUAGGAUGAUGCAAUGUCCAGCCAUCAACACAUUUGUGGAGGAAUUUUUACUCCCCAAAAGAGCGCCCCCCCAUGGCAGGAGAAAAAAGGCCAUUUUUUCUUGUCCCCUAAGGUGAAAAUACACAUUGUUGAGUGUCACACCUGUACGCUUUGUCAUAUUGACACAAAAUUUGACAAUCACGUGUAUCUCAAUAAGAUCUACGAAAAAGUCAAUGCGGGCGUAUCUGUCAAAUGUACGGUUAAAGGGCUAUUUCGCAUUUUUUGCCAAUUCGCACACAUUGGAAUGUGGCUAACUCCUCCUAAAGCUUUCGUCCCAUCAACACCAAAUGUGCUCAGGCCAAUCUACACCCCAUGGCCAUUCAAAGUUGUAAAAAUCAUGAUGCUGCACCCAACGGUUUACGUUCUAGGGGGCGCCAAAGAUAACCCAAAAAUCCACAUUUUCAAAAGUCUUAUAACUUUUUAUUUUUGUCCUCACUGGCCUCCAAGUUUUCUAGGAUAAUGCAAUGUUCAGCCAUUAACACAAUUGUGAAGGAAUUUUUACUCCCCAAAAGAGCGCCCCCCAUGGCAGGAGAAAAAGUCAAGGUUUUCCUGCCCAUCGCUCAAUGGCUCAAACGCAUCGCUCUCUCGGCAAAACCGAAAGGAGGAGCAACUUGCCAUUUGGAUAUAUCCUAGCUGUGUUUGUGCCCUCACUCAUGGUCCAGACUUUUUUCAAAAAGGACAUGGAGUUUUUCUGCAGCGAGCAUUUUGGUAGAAACUGCGCCUCCCAUUCAUUAUAAUGGUAAAUGACCACAGACAAGUGCGCACACCAUCUUUGGACCUUGAGUGUGAGGCGAUCGGAAGGGGGGCGGUCGCGAUGGGGGCGGCACAACACGGCUCGGGCCCGCCAGUGCCCCAACGGGGCCCUAGUCUUCUUAUUAGGGCCCGAGCGUAGCUGCUAAGCAGCUGCGAGAGCCCUCUUGUUCCUGAUGGAUUCUUCUUUCGUUAUUUUUCCUCCGCUUUAAACUGGAAAAUGGCCCACUUCCCACUGGCGAAAACUCAUGAAAUUUGGCAGGACGACCGGGCCUGGUGAAAAAUUCGAUAUUCUGAAGUCGCCCAAACAAUAAAAUGCAAAAUGGCUCCAUAGCGCCCCCUAAGGUGAAAAUUCACAUGCGGGCUGUACGCUUUGUCAAAAUGACACAAAAAUUGACACACACAUGUAUCUCAAUAAGAUCUACAAAAAAGUCAGUGCGGGCGUAUCUGUCAAAUGUACGGUUAAAGGGUUAUUUCGCAUUUUUUGCAGAUCUGCACACAUUGGAAUUUCGCUAACUCCUCCGAAGGCUUUCGUUCCACCGGCACCACAUUUGCGCAGGCCAAUCUACCCCCCAUGGCCAUUAAAAGUUGUACAAAUCAUCUUGCUGCACCCCACGGUUUAGGUUCUAGGGGGCGCCAAAGAUAACCCAAAAAUCCAAAGUGUUAAAAGUCUUAUAACUUUUUAUUUUUCUCCAAACUGGCCUCCAAGUUUUCUAGGAUGAUGCAAUGUCCAGCCAUCAACACAUCUGUGAACAAAUUUUUACUCCCCAAAAGAGCGCCCCCCAUGGCAGGAGAAAAAAGUCCAUUUUUUCUUGUCCCGUAAGGUGAAAAUACACAUUUUUGAGUGUCACCCCUGUACCCUUUGUCAUAUUGACACAAAAUUUGACAAUAACGUGUAUCUCAAUAAGAUCUACGAAAAAGUCAAAGGGCACAUAUCUGUCAAAUGUACGGUUAAAGGGCUAUUUUGCAUUUUUUGCCGAUUCGCACACAUUGGAAUUUCGCUAACUCCUCCGAAGGCUAUCUUUCUACCGGCACCAAAUUUGCUCAGGCUAAUCUACACCCCAUGGCCAUUAAAAGUUGUACAAAUCAUGAUGCUGCCCUCCACGGUUUAGGUUCUAGGGGGCGCCAAAGAUAACCCAAAAAUCCACAUUCUUAAUAGUCUUAUAACUUUUUAGUUUUGUCCUCACUGGCCUCUAAGUUUUCUAGGAUGAUGCAAUGUCCAGCCAUCAACACAUUUGUAAAGGAAUUUUUACUCCCGAAAAGAGCGCCCCCCCAUGGCAGGAGAAAAAAGUCAAUUUUUUCUUGUCCCCUAAGGUGAAAAAACACAUUGUUGACUGUCACGCCUAUACGCUUUGUCAAAAUGACACAAAAUUUGACACACACGUGUAUCUCAAUAAGAUCUACGAAAAAGUCAAAGAGCGCGUAUCUGUAUAAUGUACGGUUAAAGGGCUAUUUUGCAUUUUUUGCCGAUUCGCACACAUUGGAAUGUGGCUAUCUCCUCCUAAGGCUUUCGUCCCACCGAUACCAAAUUUGCUCAGGGCAAUCUACACCCCAUGCCCAUUCAAAAUUGUAAAAAUCAUGACGCUGCACCCCACGGUUUACGUUCUAGGGGGCGCCAAAGAUGACCCAAAAAUCCACAUUCUUAAAAGUCUUUUUGGCCACUGCAGGAGUACAGAGUACUGCAGUUCUAGGGGGCGCCAAAGAUGACCCAAAAAUCCACAUUCUUAAAAGUCUUUUUGGCCACUGCAGGAGUACAGAGUACUGCAGGAUACACACACAUAUACACACACGCCAACAUACACACACACACACACAGACACACACACACACACUCAGAGUCUGUUUUUUAUCACCUUCAAAAACAUGCUGUUUACAUAUUUGACAAGAAUGCAGAGGCUUCCUUUUGCCCCUGAAAAAAAUCAAAUUUCAAACACAACUUGACUGUUCAUUUCUCCAAAAGACAACCAUGAAGCUCCAUUUCAAACCUGAAGCAAAUAGUUGGUGCAUGUGUACAGUAACCUGAGGGGAGUGAGGUGACUAUUUCUGAGGAGAACAUGAGCAGUGAAGAUUCACCUUGGAGCUAGAACAGGGACGUGCACAUGAUUAUACAGGGGCAGGGGCUCAAGUUUUUUCCAGUCAUUUAUACAAUAUGGAAAUUAAUGUGAAAUUAAAAAACAAAGUAUUAAUAGAAAGGUUAUGACUGUCCUGUGUAGAUGACAGUGAUAUCCAAUAGGCUAGGCACUCACGAGGCUGGCUGUGGCAAGUGUAAGUGAAAGCAACACGCACUGGCAGGAAGAACAGCAAACGCCGAUGAAGGAAAAGGGUCUUUGCAGUGAUGGGCGUUACCAGAGAGGGCGAUGGCCAGAGGAAACAAAUGGGACGGGGAGGCAGCGCGUUGGGGGGGGGGACGCGACACAGCUCGGGCCCGCCAGUGCCCCAACGGGGUCCUAGUUAGGGCCCGAGCGUAGCUGCUAAGCAGCUGCGAGAGCCCUAUUGUUCCUGUAUCGGUUUUUCUUUCUUCUUUCUUUCUUUCUUUCUUUCUUCUUAUUUUUCCUCCCCUUUGAACUGGAAAAAACUCACUUCCCACUGGCGAAAACUCAUGAAAUUUGGCAGGACGACCGGGCCUGGUGAAAAAUUCGAUAUUCUGAAGUCGCCUAAACAAUAAAAUGCAAAAUGGCUCCAUAGCGCCCCCAAAGGUGAAAAUUCACACCAUUGACUGUCACGCCUGUACGCUUUGUCAAAAUGACACAAAAUUUGACACACAUAUGUAUCUCAAUAAGAUCUACGAAAAAAUCAGCGCGGGCGUAUCUGUCAAAUGUACGGUUAAAGGUUUAUUUCGCAUUUUUUGCCGAUCCGCACACAUUGGAAUUUCGCUAACUCCUCCGAAGGCUUUUGUUCCACUGGCACCACAUUUGCUCAGGUCAAUCUACACCCCAUGGCCAUUAAAAGUUGUACAAAUCAUGACGCUGCACCCCGCGGUUUAGGUUCUAGGGGGCGCCAAAGAUGACCCAAAAAUCCACAUUCUUAAAAGUCUUAUAACUUUUUAUUUUUGUCCCCACUGGCCUUGAAGUUCUCUAGGAUGAUGCAAUGUCCAGCCAUCAACACAUUUGUGGAGGAAUUUUUACUCCCCAAAAGAGCGCCCCCCCAUGGCAGGAGAAAAAAGGCCAUUUUUUCUUGUCCCCUAAGGUGAAAAUACACAUUGUUGAGUGUCACACCUGUACGCUUUGUCAUAUUGACACAAAAUUUGACAAUCACGUGUAUCUCAAUAAGAUCUACGAAAAAGUCAAUGCGGGCGUAUCUGUCAAAUGUACGGUUAAAGGGCUAUUUCGCAUUUUUUGCCAAUUCGCACACAUUGGAAUGUGGCUAACUCCUCCUAAAGCUUUCGUCCCAUCAACACCAAAUGUGCUCAGGCCAAUCUACACCCCAUGGCCAUUCAAAGUUGUAAAAAUCAUGAUGCUGCACCCAACGGUUUACGUUCUAGGGGGCGCCAAAGAUAACCCAAAAAUCCACAUUUUCAAAAGUCUUAUAACUUUUUAUUUUUGUCCUCACUGGCCUCCAAGUUUUCUAGGAUAAUGCAAUGUUCAGCCAUUAACACAAUUGUGAAGGAAUUUUUACUCCCCAAAAGAGCGCCCCCCCAUGGCAGGAGAAAAAGUCAAGGUUUUCCUGCCCAUCGCUCAAUGGCUCAAACGCAUCGCUCUCUCGGCAAAACCGAAAGGAGGAGCAACUUGCCAUUUGGAUAUAUCCUAGCUGUGUUUGUGCCCUCACUCAUGGUCCAGACUUUUUUCAAAAAGGACAUGGAGUUUUUCUGCAGCGAGCAUUUUGGUAGAAACUGCGCCUCCCAUUCAUUAUAAUGGUAAAUGACCACAGACAAGUGCGCACACCAUCUUUGGACCUUGAGUGUGAGGCGAUCGGAAGGGGGGGCGGUCGCGAUGGGGGCGGCACAACACGGCUCGGGCCCGCCAGUGCCCCAACGGGGCCCUAGUCUUCUUAUUAGGGCCCGAGCGUAGCUGCUAAGCAGCUGCGAGAGCCCUCUUGUUCCUGAUGGAUUCUUCUUUCGUUAUUUUUCCUCCGCUUUAAACUGGAAAAUGGCCCACUUCCCACUGGCGAAAACUCAUGAAAUUUGGCAGGACGACCGGGCCUGGUGAAAAAUUCGAUAUUCUGAAGUCGCCCAAACAAUAAAAUGCAAAAUGGCUCCAUAGCGCCCCCUAAGGUGAAAAUUCACAUGCGGGCUGUACGCUUUGUCAAAAUGACACAAAAAUUGACACACACAUGUAUCUCAAUAAGAUCUACAAAAAAGUCAGUGCGGGCGUAUCUGUCAAAUGUACGGUUAAAGGGUUAUUUCGCAUUUUUUGCAGAUCUGCACACAUUGGAAUUUCGCUAACUCCUCCGAAGGCUUUCGUUCCACCGGCACCACAUUUGCGCAGGCCAAUCUACCCCCCAUGGCCAUUAAAAGUUGUACAAAUCAUCUUGCUGCACCCCACGGUUUAGGUUCUAGGGGGCGCCAAAGAUAACCCAAAAAUCCAAAGUGUUAAAAGUCUUAUAACUUUUUAUUUUUCUCCAAACUGGCCUCCAAGUUUUCUAGGAUGAUGCAAUGUCCAGCCAUCAACACAUCUGUGAACAAAUUUUUACUCCCCAAAAGAGCGCCCCCCCAUGGCAGGAGAAAAAAGUCCAUUUUUUCUUGUCCCGUAAGGUGAAAAUACACAUUUUUGAGUGUCACCCCUGUACCCUUUGUCAUAUUGACACAAAAUUUGACAAUAACGUGUAUCUCAAUAAGAUCUACGAAAAAGUCAAAGGGCACAUAUCUGUCAAAUGUACGGUUAAAGGGCUAUUUUGCAUUUUUUGCCGAUUCGCACACAUUGGAAUUUCGCUAACUCCUCCGAAGGCUAUCUUUCUACCGGCACCAAAUUUGCUCAGGCUAAUCUACACCCCAUGGCCAUUAAAAGUUGUACAAAUCAUGAUGCUGCCCUCCACGGUUUAGGUUCUAGGGGGCGCCAAAGAUAACCCAAAAAUCCACAUUCUUAAUAGUCUUAUAACUUUUUAGUUUUGUCCUCACUGGCCUCUAAGUUUUCUAGGAUGAUGCAAUGUCCAGCCAUCAACACAUUUGUAAAGGAAUUUUUACUCCCGAAAAGAGCGCCCCCCAUGGCAGGAGAAAAAAGUCAAUUUUUUCUUGUCCCCUAAGGUGAAAAAACACAUUGUUGACUGUCACGCCUAUACGCUUUGUCAAAAUGACACAAAAUUUGACACACACGUGUAUCUCAAUAAGAUCUACGAAAAAGUCAAAGAGCGCGUAUCUGUAUAAUGUACGGUUAAAGGGCUAUUUUGCAUUUUUUGCCGAUUCGCACACAUUGGAAUGUGGCUAUCUCCUCCUAAGGCUUUCGUCCCACCGAUACCAAAUUUGCUCAGGGCAAUCUACACCCCAUGCCCAUUCAAAAUUGUAAAAAUCAUGACGCUGCACCCCACGGUUUACGUUCUAGGGGGCGCCAAAGAUGACCCAAAAAUCCACAUUCUUAAAAGUCUUUUUGGCCACUGCAGGAGUACAGAGUACUGCAGUUCUAGGGGGCGCCAAAGAUGACCCAAAAAUCCACAUUCUUAAAAGUCUUUUUGGCCACUGCAGGAGUACAGAGUACUGCAGGAUACACACACAUAUACACACACGCCAACAUACACACACACACACACAGACACACACACACACACUCAGAGUCUGUUUUUUAUCACCUUCAAAAACAUGCUGUUUACAUAUUUGACAAGAAUGCAGAGGCUUCCUUUUGCCCCUGAAAAAAAUCAAAUUUCAAACACAACUUGACUGUUCAUUUCUCCAAAAGACAACCAUGAAGCUCCAUUUCAAACCUGAAGCAAAUAGUUGGUGCAUGUGUACAGUAACCUGAGGGGAGUGAGGUGACUAUUUCUGAGGAGAACAUGAGCAGUGAAGAUUCACCUUGGAGCUAGAACAGGGACGUGCACAUGAUUAUACAGGGGCAGGGGCUCAAGUUUUUUCCAGUCAUUUAUACAAUAUGGAAAUUAAUGUGAAAUUAAACCACAAAUAUGUGUGAUGAACUGUUUUUAAAACUUAAACUUCAAAUAAAAAUUGUAAACUUCAAAACAUAUGCAAAUUUUUAACAAAGAACAUAGUAAUUUACCUCUAUUUACAUCAAAAUGCAGGCAAUGGCCCAGGCGUUCUUUGUAAAAUUAUUUACAAAACACUGUAUAGUCUCACAAAUGUCACUUUUUAUUUAUGCCACUACAAAAAAACAUGAUGUAAAUGAUGCAUGAUGUAAAACAUGAUGUAAAAAACUUGUGUAGAUCCUCCUCUAUGUCAGUCCAUGUGUAAUUUUUCCAUAAUUCUUUGUUUUUUGCAGCAUUUUUGUUAGUGUAACUGCAGAUUGUGCUGACAGUGUCUAUGGCACAAAAAAAAAAAAUUUUAAAAUGCCUCAACAUGAACCCCUGGUGGUCUCUGAGGGUGAAACCUGCUAACUGCUGCAGCUCUGUCAGCUUCAGUCUCCCAUGCAGAGCUCUGAGUGCAUGUGUGGCUCUGCACCCUUAGCAGCGUUGCUAACUCCUCAGUAAGGAAAGCCUGCUUCAUGUCAGAGUCUCUAAACUCCAGAAGUCGAUAAAAGUCCCUUUCUUUCUAAAAAAAAGUCGUUAGGGGGUCUGAAAAGUCAUUGAAUCUAACAACAAAGUCGCUAGGUUUGCAACUACGUGUCCCAGACUGCAUCCCUGCUGAGAGUCCCUCCCUCCCUUCUCAUGUUGCAGGAAGAACGUAAGCGCCCGCCCCUUGUCAAUCAGUCACCAUAUAAUUUUGGAUUGGUUGUUGUGGUGAAGUUUUCCACCAAUAGGAGAGAUGUUGUGGUGUGUUUUUUUUUUUCUUUUGGCAAGCCUUUUCCGCCUGUAAGACCUGUCACUAAUGUCUGCAUGCUAUGUUUUCCUGUCUCAUACAGCGCGAUCGAGCGCCGAACGUGAUCAAAAUAAGCAGAAAAAAAGUAUCGCGGACAUAAUUUAUCAUAACUCUGGUUUUAUUUGGCCUAUCAACACAAUUUAAAAACUGGCUCGGGCCCGCCAGUGCCCCAACGGGGUCCUAGUUAGGGCCCGAGCGUAGCUGCUAAGCAGCUGCGAGAGCCCUCUUGUUCCUGAUGGAUUCUUCUUUAGGGCCCGAGCGUAGCUGCUAAGCAGCUGCGAGAGCCCUAUUAUUCCCCAAGUGGUUUUUCUUUGUUUCUUUCUUUCUUCUUUUUCCUCCCCUUUGAACUGGAAAAUGGCCCACUUCCCACUGGCGAA